CUUGGAGAGUCAUGUCCUUCUUGACCAAGAUCUCUUUGGGCAGUUUACUGAAAAUGUUGCCCUAGAAAUACUUCUUAAUUGCAACCUGGCUUCCCUCCACCUAGAAAACUCUAGGCCAAUGGUUUUCAAAGUAUGGCCCUGACUGGCAGCAUCUGGAUGGCAGAAGGAAAUGCGGAUUCUUUCCCCCUUUCACCUGCUGAAUCAGAAAUCCUGCUGAUGGGGUGCUUCAGAGCGGCAAAGAUGGCUGCCGAGUCCUGUCUGCCGCACACGGCGGGGUGUUGCUCCAGGAUGUUGCUUCAAACGUGAUCUGUUUCCCGUUUCAAAGUAGCAGCCCCCACGCUUGGAGCU